GGCCAACGUCAGGGGAGUCCCGCCAUGGGGACUGAGAGGCUGACAGGGACGCUGCGGCGUCCCGGUGACGCGACCCUUUGAACCUGACCCAGUUGACGCUGGCGUAGGAAGACCGAAGGGCAAUCUU
rnacentral:ncRNA from 1 species